GUACAGAAUAGUUGUUCAUGGUUGUAUCAUCUAGGGAAUUAGGAGUUACACAGCCUAAGCAACAUAAUUUAUAUCUUGCUUUUGGUUUGAGACUCUGCGCCACAAUCAUUGUGAGUAAAUGACAGCGACAUAGGAAUCCUUAAUGGGUGCCCCAGUUAAAUAUGGUGAGAAAGGAAUCCGAGAUAUAAAACACUUGGAGAAGCCAGCUCUUUUCUGCAUAAUUGUGCUAGGCACUUGGAGCAACUGUGGUUUACAGCUCUCAGUUACCUUGUGAUGUGUAGUUACACUUCCAUCUUGGUUGUGAAUUUACCUUUUCUUUUCGUCUUUCUUUUCCUUAUGGCCGGUGCUAUAUAAAAAUUGCUGUAGAGUUUUUGUGUUUUGCUUUUUUCCCUUAAAAGAUUUUGCUUGCAAGCUCCCUUCUAACAAAAAAAUACAUUACCAAACUGUGUAUCCAUAUAUUUGUUUUUUUCUCUUUUUUAAGUCUGGAAACUGUGUAUCCACAUUAGCUUCCUUUGGAUACAUAACAAUUCAACUUGGAAUAGAAACUUGUGCUUUAAUGAUUCUAUUUAUGCUAAGUAAGUUGUGUCACAGGUAUUAAAUAAAUGGCUUGAGUAGCAUUUUCUUUUCAUAUUAAUCAAG
rnacentral:misc_RNA from 1 species